GGCGCGUCCCCGCUGCCGCCGUCCGUCCCCGCGGCGCCGCUGCAGGCGCAGCCCCGCCACGCGUGGGCGCCCCGCACGGGUUUGGUGUCGGACCGGGGGGAAGCGGCGUUCGCGGGGCUUUUUCGCGGGGUUGUUCGGGUGCGAUGGGACAGGGACGCAGGUAGGUGUGUUCCAGCAUCUCCGGUUCGCCCGAGACCCCGCUUCGGCUGCCCCACCUCCCCGGGGCCAGCGUAGAGCAUCACUUCCUACGUGUGUGACGUCGUUCCAGCCCACCAGAAAGCAAAACAUGGGGGAAAAAAGCCAACAAAUUCUAUAGCUUGAACACGUGGCAUCGUGCCCCUGCACGGCUGGCUUCGUCACAGAGCUCGUUACCCGCUCUGAAGGCUCCAGCGAUGCGUUCCCGCUGGUGGAGUCCCGCUGGCUUGGAGAGGGAGAGAAAGGAAAAAUACGUCUUAGAGGGCAGAAGCCACUGCAUCCAUCAUCAGGGCCGCGCGGGAGCUGGGGUUUUCCUGACAGAGCUGCUGCUUCCAUCCCACAGCCCCUAUCCCACAGCCCCUAUCCCACAGCCCCCAUCCCACAGCCCCUAUCCCACAGCCCCCAUCCCACUGCCCCAUCCCACAGCCCUCAUCCCACUGCUCCCAUCCCACUGCUCCCAUCCCACACCCUCUAUCCCACUGCCCCCAUGCCACUGCCCCCAUCCCACUGUUCCCAUCCUGCAGCUCCCAUCCCACUGCCCAUGGGGCUGAGCCCAGGCAGGGCCCAUUGCUCACUUUGGCAUCACCCUACAGUGCUGCCCUGCUGGAAGAAGCAGACCAAACCCUGCAAACAGGCAAUGUGUCCCAUCUGCUUGCUGGAUCCCAGAUAAAACCCCAAGGAUCUGCAGGCUAAAUAUAGCCUGAGCCCCUGUAAAUUAAACAAAAGCUUUUCGCUGGGCUCUCCGAAAGCUGGUUCCAGUGUUGGUUUUCUCUAUGUAAGGUAUAACUCUGGUGGUAUCUGUUAUUGUUAGCUGGAGCUCCCCGUGCUGCCGGCCCCCCUGGCAUGGCUCUUUAGGAAUACUCAUCAUGUAGGGCUGAGCUUCUCCCUCCCAGCUGCUGCUCCUGCCUGAGCUCCCACCCUGCAGGGAGCCUCAGCCCCUCCUGCCCCAGCACCAUCCUGCCUGCGCAUCCUAGGGUGUCCGUGCCUCCAUUUGCGCACACACUGCUGCUCGCUGCCCGCCUGCUUUCAGUGAACUCAAAAAGUCGGCCCCAAGCCUGCCAUGGCUAUAUUUAGUUGGAACUUUUCUGUCCAGGAUUCAGACUCUAUUUGGAAACCUUGUGCCUUGGCGUACCGCCAAGCAUCCUGGUUUUAUACAGUAAUCCCUCAGCAUACGGCAAAUGGUUCUCAUCUCCCUGCGGCUGCGGCAUGGCCCCAGCAGUGCGACAACACAGCUCUGAUCUGAAAGCGAGAUGGGCUGUGGUCAUGGCCCCACAUCUCCAGGCCAGGAGCUCUUUGGAUAGGAACAUCCUCCUUCUGUUGCUUUCAAACAUCCCCGGAGCUGCCCCGACCCCACGGUUUCUCAGAGCUCUGAUGGAUGCUGAGCUGUGCUCGCAGCAUCACAACGCCCAUAUGUUUCUCCAUAGGAUGGUUUGGGUGAAUCAGGGUUUAGCACAGCCCUGUGUAUGCACAGGGCUUGGUGCGGCCCCUCCAUCUCCACCUAUUUGCGGGGAACUCCCUCUUCAGCUUUGCAGCACUGCAACCCUCACACAAAAAGCAAAGUGAGGACAUGGCCUGGGAGUCCCCCAAAACAUUUGGCACUUUCAAAUCAGCCCCAGGAAUGCUGGGGAGGCAGGAGCUGGUGGUUUGUCGGGGGGGGUUUCGGCCCUGUAAGCGCAGCACUCAGCAAAGGUUCCAGCUCUGCACAUAGCUCUGUGCGUGCGUAAAUGUAUUACAGCAUCUCUCUUGGAAACCCUCAGCACAGAUAUUCCAGCCCGUGGAAAGCAAAACCAGAGGUUCCCAAUGAUGUGUGCGUUUCUCUUCUUGUGAGAGGCGGGGAGGGACAGAGCCAGCUGGGAAAGGUGAUCCCGUGGCUAUUUAUACAGCGCUUCAAAAUGGUUUAAUGUCGGGACGGGAAUGAUGAUGUACAACAAAACUAUCCGCUCCAGAACCUCCAGACCUAAAUCCCACACCAUUAUUUUAGUGCAGCAGGUUAAGGGAUCUGAUGGAGUGUGUUCUUGAAACGAUGCUUCAUCUCGCUCCUUGCGGCACGCAGUGGGAGCUGCUCACAGGGAGCAGCACGAGGUGCAUUGGGUGCUGGGUACCCAUGGUGUGUGCAGGCUUUGGGAGCCCAGGGGGGUGGAGCGAGAGUCCCGCAACGCCCCAGCACUGCUGGAGCCCAUCCAAGCUGUAUGGCUUUGCUGAGACACCCAUGAGUGUGCUCCCUACAGCGCUGUGAUUCAUCCUCAGCCACUCAGUUCAGCUGUAGCCUUUCAUCUGCCGGGAAUGUGGCAUUUUCCUAAAUCGCAUGGUUUUUUUGUGCUGCUAUUACACACCUACGGGUCCAGCUGUUCCCUCCUGGACACUUUCUGGAUUAUGCCAUUGUGUCUGAAAGGCGCCAGGUGCCCGCACAGCUCAGGUCCCACAGCAUAGGGUGGCACUGGGUCACACUGCAGACCAGCGGCAGCCUGGGGCCAUGGGGUGCCUGCUAGCAGUGGCACGGGGAGCACUGAGCCCUGCCUGCAGGCUGUGUGCAUCCAUGCAUCCCACAGGGUGGGAUCAUCUCACGUCUGUUUGCCAUGAUUCCAGCUUUUCUCCGUCUCAGCUACCCCAGCUCGUGGUGCCAAACGCCGCCCCGCCGUGUUUAUUAAUGCUGAUUGUAAAACCUUGGCAAACACUUCUGCCAGCAGGUCUGCAGAAACCUCGCCGGAUGCGGUGCCUCCGAGCAGAUGGGGCUGGUUAGGAGGUGUCAUGCUGCUAACAGCACCGUGCAGCUCUGCACUCACAGCGUGCUCCAAGCCAGCAGUGAACUGAGCUGAAAGCACGGGGAGUGCAGCUCUGAGUGCCCGGCCAGGCAGCACCUCCUCCUUCCCUCUUCUCACAGGCUGCAACUUUUCCUCCAACCCGCCGUGCCCAUAUCCUCACUGCCAUCACUGCUGCUGUGCAGCACCAGUGCACCUGGGACCGUGCACAGCACCACUGCUUUGCUCACCGGGCACUGCUUUGUGGUUUCCCCAUUACUCCCUCCAUUUGCUCUGUUCUCCACCACCGAAAACCUCCCGAAGGUGCUGAACAGUGUUCAAUGAAUGCUCACCGAUGACAUCAGCCAUUCAAGUCUGCACAGGUGCACAGAGAACCUCCACAUCUCCAAGCAGCCUCCAAGACCGUUUUUGCAUAUAUUUUGGUGAGAGUGUGAUUUUCCCACUAUGCUAUUACUUGGGUUAAAAUAACCACUGGGAGCAGAGUUACUGUCACCCACAGCACCAUUUUCUAAAUGUUUCAGUAGUGUCAUGUCACACCAAUGUUAGGUGACACAGGCACAGCAGGGCUGCACCAAAGCAUCCCUCUCUGCUGUGCCAAGAUGUAAUUCCUGGGAGCUCCAUGACGGGGAUAUGGGUGGAAACCCUCAGCAAAAUGCCCGCGGGCAUAUGGCUGUCUCCUUCUGGAGCCCAUGCGUUGUUGUCGUCUUCUGCAGAGGGCUCAGGGCUGCUUGUCCACCCCAGCACCCAGGGGGAAAAGCUGCGCUGCAUCCCUGCUUCACCCACACCGUCCUCCCCUGACAGCCGGCUCCUGGCUGCAUGGGCAAACUCAGAGAAGGGGCCGGCUCAGGAGCACUCUGGCACCAUGCCCAAGGGACACCCCUCCCCACGGCAUUUUCUAAUUUCCAGGCGGAUCUGUCACUCUCCAGGCCGCGUGCCACGUCUCGCUGCGAGUUAAUAUAAAGCCGCGACCACCUGCGGGCAGGAGCAGAAGAGCGCGUCCUUCUCACGGCCCCACCAGCGUCGCUGCACAGAGCAGAAGUGCAAAAAAAAGCCAAAAAACAGCCUGGAAGUUUCUCCCAUGGGUUUUUCCCUUUGAAAUCUGACAUCUUUCCUCUCUCAGGAAAACGUUCUCUGAGGAACACCCUGGGGAGGCAGGAGGCAGCCCACUUGUCUCUGCGCUGCAGGACGGGAUCCUUUCGUAGCAUCUCCUCUGUGCUACUGGGGAUCCCUUCUUGCCCCUGUGGCAGCACACAGCGAGGGAUGCAAUAGAGCUGAGCUAUGGCAGAGCCAAUGCAGCACGAGGGCAAGGCAGCACCAGGCUGGUAGCCUCACCUAGUGCAAGCCAUCCUUCGGGUGGCUCUUGGGAUCAGUCCCCACACUGCGCGGCCUUCCAGCAUCUCCCCCUGUAUCUCUGUUCUCUGGAUGCGAAGAUCCAGGAGCUGCCAGCAAACACUGACACUCUCCUAGCACUCCUCAGGGUGAAAAAUGCUCAGUGCAAAUCCCUGGCACACAUCAAGCUUUCCAGAGAGCUUUGCCCCAUUCUGCAGCUGGGCUGCCCCUCAGGGAGCCUCAGGGCAUCGAUAACGCCGAAGUGGGCACCUUCCAGCUUCGUGGGGCUUUGCCGUCGCUUUCUGGGCUGGGAGCUGAGCCCCAUGGGCAGCUGGGCCCUGCUGGGGGGAGCGGCGGAAAACAACAAAUUGUCAGGUGUCAGAGCAGGGAAUUGUCAGUGACUCAGGUUUAAGAAGGAGAAUUUUUGCCAAGCAAAAUGUGAUGGCUUUUUUGGACGGGGCUGGAAGACAGGGCUGCAGCUCUGAUUGAUGCAGCUCGCAGCGUGCUGCUUGCGUCAGUCCAGAGGGAGAGGCUCUGCAUGACCUGCGGUGCUGGUGUGGGGGUGCGCACAUGGGGGGCACACGGUGCAUGGGGAUGUUCUUUCCCUUGGGCACGGUGGGGCAGGGGCUGGCAGCUGUGUGUCGGUCUCAUCUGCUCACAUUUGCCGCCCUGAGGUUCUUUUCCAUGAAGGGAAUUCAGGGAGAAGCCGCUGCCCCAGCCCUUGAGGAAGGCAGCAGCAUGCAGAGAGAGAUCACCAGUGGGGCUUCUGAAUAAUCAUAAUUUCUUCUUUCUACCGUUUUAAUUUACUAAUUAAUCCUUGGAAGGAAUAUCUACUUGGAUGCAGGGAAAUAAUGGAACUCCUCCAUCUGCAUGUGCUCUGUGUCUCACCAGCAGCCUGGGCAAAGCCUCAGCAAGCGCAACGUGGUGAAGGCAGCACAGCGUUGCAGUUGGGCCACCGGGUUCUGUUCUGCAAACAGGGCUCCAGGCAGAGCCGUUCCCAGCCCCUGGCGACGCCUCCAGAGCUCCCUUGUCCUGGAGAGCCCUGGGCUCUGCUGGGGGAGCACAGACGGAAGGGAACCGGGCAUCCCACGGGCAUUGCUCUGCAAAGGGCUUAGCCCACUGCGUGGCUUUAGGUGAUUUUAGGGGGAAAGCGGGGCUGGAGGUCCCCAGGCAUGUCGCUACACGCUUCCCACACAGGCACACAGCCGGAGGCUCGCGAAGGUGGCACGCAGGGCGCAGCGAUGCCGUCUGUUCUGCCCCUCUCUGCCUGUUUCUCUCAAGAAAGUUCUUGACUGACUCCGGCUGUCAGUCCCCUUCUGCUUUUUUUCCAAGUCGGAGAGCUACGUGCACGUAUAGCGUCUUUAAUUAGUAUCAAUAGAGAGAAAAAUAAAUAAGAGACAUGCCUGAAAUAGUGUCACCCCCGAGCAGGCAGGCGGCCGCGUCAUGGAAAGAAAAUAAAAAUGCUUUUUAUCUC